ACACAAAAGCAUCCCUACUUCAGGGUCUGUCUGGUAGGAAAGGACACAAUGAGAACCAAGCAGUAGGUCUGAAAGACCUUUCCUUCUUUUUUAUUGAGUAGCUACUUCGAUUUUCCCAAACAUAUUGUGUCCGGAGUUAGUUCCUUCUGGUGGUUUCGUGGUCUCGCUGACUUCAAGAAUGGAGCCAUGGACUUUCACGACGGUGAAAUAUAAUUGGCAAAUUUAAAUCCAUGCAAAAGGAUUAAUGCCUUGUGGAAAGAAGUGCAGGUGAAUAGAAAUGCUGGAGGUGGAUCCCAAGAUCUAAAGUCAAGGACUGGAUCAGGGAAGUCACUGGACAACUUUGAGCUUAAUUAAUCUCAUCAAGAAAUAUAUAUAAAGAUUAACUUCUCCAUCUUCCAUGUGUUGUGAGAAUCAUUGAGAAACAGCAAUACAUUGUAUUAGAAUAAAGACAGUGUAUAAAAACCAAGAAGAUAUGCCUCACUCACUAUCAUCACCAUCCUCACCAUCACGAUAUGAUCAUCACCAUUUUUACUCCAUUAGUGCCUUAAAUGUUUUCCAUGUUGUACUGCUGCCACCUAAUGGCAGAGCUGAAUGAAUGUGAAGCUUCCUUCAAGUCACAUACUCUGGUUUUGCCUUUUCUUAAAUCUGUAUUCACCUGGACUGAAGUCAGAAAAUGUACAGGCUGGAAAAAAAUAAACAGAAAUGACUGCACUUGUUAUACUUGGCAAGUAGAAUUCUGCCCCAACCUUGAAUAAAUGGGGCAGAAAUGAGCCCCAGGUCUAGAUUAAGGGAACGCCCACCAGGUGGUCUUAUCCAUUUUUCAUUAGUCCAAAUGUGUUUUGUAUGUAACAAACCAUGCUCCUAUUAACUUCCAGACAUAAAAUGAAAACAUUUAGAGCAAGCUGUGGACUGAUUAUCAGAAUUGGAGGGAGUGUGGCAUUUUGAAACUCUUGAGACAGAAGACUGGGUCUACUGGUGUAAGGAGCUGUAGCGGCAACUGGUUGCAGGAAUUGUACAUAUGGCCUUGCAGAACAUCUUUCCAAGGCGUCUCAGACUGUGUGGUCACUCUCAAAAGGACAACAGUUUUACUCCCAGAAUUUAUGAAGAGACAAAGGCUCUGACUCCUCUUUGGUUUCCUUCUUAAAACAUUCUACUUAGACAUUCCACAGGGCAAUAAAAACUAAUAACUAGCCGUUUGCACUUUUCAUUUCCAUGGUAACUUUCCUACGUAGGUAUUCCAAAGUUCUUAUAAAAAUAGGGAAUGCCGAUUGACCUACAUCCAGGAAAUGAGGCGAUAGUUUUAUUUCAGGUCCUUAAGCAGAAACCUACCCAUUUUCAUAUGAGUAUCUGUCUGCAGAAAGUCAAUGGGGCUCUAAGUGCAAGGACAUUGUCCCACACACUUGGACAGAAAUAAAGCAGCUGGAGAAGACUGCUGAAUUCAGGCUUCUCUCCAACAGUGAAGAAAGCCCAACCUGGCAUGGUGAAAGAACCCCUCUAUCACAAUAUAACUUGGGAUUCACGAAGAUGGCAGAAGAUUUUGGAGAAUGACUGGAUUUACUAUCUUACAGAACAAGAACUAAAUAUAUUUUAAUGUACAUGAAACUGCAAACAAAUUUUCAAUAUGAUAGAGAGUCUGAGUGAAAAAUGAAAAUCCAUACUUAAAGUAGAGGAGGACAGAAAUAGAAAUUGUUACAUUGAAAGAAUCAAUCUGAACUCAUCAUUUUAAACAGGAAAUAUAUUUUCCAUCCCUGUCAAUGAUCCAAAACCAGCAGCUUCACCUUUUCCCAACACUCACGUCUAAUUCUGGUCUGUGCAACCAAUUGGUCAGCAGCCCAGACUCUUCAUCUUAGCUAGUCUGGGAGACUAUUAUUUUUCAGUUGAGAGUGCUAAGAUUAUCACAAGCCUAGGAUGAAAAUAGAAUACUGUAUGUGGUAAAUUUACUGUAAUUCUAGAAAGAUAACUCUGAGAAGAAACCAAAAUUAAGGUGUAAGAAUAAGAAUGGAAAUAAGAAUUACAAUGAAAAUAGAAAUAAGAAUAAAAAUAACAUGAGAAUAAAGACGUGGAACAUGACAUUUCAAUUCAUGUUAUUUGCAUUAUGGUAGUAAGUUUUAUUGUAAGUGUGUUAAUGUAUUAAUCACUGAAGUAUUUUGUAUGUCUUCUGUCUGCAUCCUAGCAUGUUUAAAGCAUUUUGAAAAAUUUCUGGAGAUGUGUGCUUUUAAUUAAAUCAUCAGAAGGGUUUUAUGGGACAAAUUUAACUUUGCAGCCAAUGUCUAAGAAUUUGGGAAAAUUCAUUGAAUCAAUAUGUUUUUAUUUAUCAUAAUCUACCAAUAUGUGAAUAUUUAAAAGAAUGUUUAUUAUUUAUUGCUUAAAAAUAAUUGGUUGAUAAAUUCAAAAUAUCAAGAAUUUAGACAUUAG
rnacentral:lncRNA from 10 species